UACAUGCAAGUCGAGGGGCAGCACGAGUACUUGUACUUGGUGGCGACCGGCGCACGGGGGCGUAACGCGUAUGCAACCUACCCACUACAGGGGGAUAGCCCGGGGAAACUCGGAUUAAUACCCCAUAGUAUUUUCGAGUGGCAUCACUUGAUUCUUAAAGAUUUAUUGGUAGUGGAUGGGCAUGCGUACCAUUAGCUAGUUGGUGAGGUAACGGCUCACCAAGGCGACGAUGGUUAGGGGGCCUGAGAGGGUGAUCCCCCACACUGGGACUGAGAUACGGACCAGACUCCUACGGGAGGCAGCAGUAGGGAAUAUUGGUCAAUGGAGGAGACUCUGAACCAGCCAUGCCGCGUGCAGGAAGACGGCCUUCUGGGUUGUAAACUGCUUUUGACAGGGAAGAAAACGGCUAUGCGUAGCUAACUGACGGAACCUGUAGAAUAAGCACCGGCUAACUCCGUGCCAGCAGCCGCGGUAAUACGGAGGGUGCAAGCGUUGUCCGGAUUUAUUGGGUUUAAAGGGUGCGUAGGGGGCCCAUUAAGUCAGUGGGGAAAUGCUGCAGCUUAACUGUAGCACUGCCAUUGAUACUGGGGGGCUUGAGUAUUGUCGAGGCAGGCGGAAUUUAUGGUGUAGCGGUGAAAUGCNUAGAUACCAUAAAGAACACCGAUAGCGAAGGCAGCUUGCUAGGCAGUAACUGACACUAAUGCACGAAAGCGUGGGUAGCGAACAGGAUUAGAUACCCUGGUAGUCCACGCCGUAAACGAUGCUCACUCGAUGUAUGCGAUACAAUGUAUGCGUCCAAGCGAAAGCGUUAAGUGAGCGACCUGGNGAGUACGCUCGCAAGAGUGAAACUCAAAGGAAUUGACGG
rnacentral:rRNA from 1 species